ACAAACUGGCACUGUGAUGGUUGGUCUGGAAAAUGCUGUGAAGAACAACAUUAAGCAGACCUACGCCAAAACUGAGCGUUAUGCACUCUGAGUAGCUCCGUGUUGAUCCUGACAACUUCAGGGUGCUUUUUGUGUAGCCUCCAAGUUUGGACCUCAAGUCUUCGCCCCUGAUGUCCAGAUGACCUGGCAGACAUUCCUCGCUGUGGUCGUCUCUGCCCUGGGCAAACAGUACCACUGAACUUGUGGAAUUAUAGUUCAUAUUCAUAACCAAAUAAUUUACAGCAGUGUUUCCGUUUAGCGCUUCGAAGCUGAUGCAUGUGACAAAUAAAUUUCCAGUUAAAUAAAAUUCUCUUUGUGUGA